rnacentral:rRNA from 1 species
UCUCUGAUCUUGAGAGAAUUUGUCCGGGAUAUGUGAGUCUAUUCUUUCUUUUAUGGGAGAUAGAUUCUGAUCCUGUUUUAGACUUAUUCUUUCGAUCAUCCUUCGUGGAGAACAGUCAUGUGCGCUUCAUUGCGUCGGGCUGUAAUCCCGAUCAAUUACUUUGAAAAAAUUAGAGUGUUCAAAGCAGGCUUACGCUGUGAAUACAUUAGCAUGGAAUAAUAAUAUAGGACUUUGGUCUUAUUUUGUUGGUUCUGAGGACUAAAGUAAUGAUUGAUAGGGAUAGUUGGGGGUGCUAGUAUUCAACGGCCAGAGGUGAAAUUCGGUGAUUCGUUGAAGACUAACUCAUGCGAAAGCAUUCACCAAGGAUGUCUUCUUUAAUCAAGAACGAAAGUUGGGGGAUCGAAGACGAUCAGAUACCGUCGUAGUCUCAACCAUAAACUAUGCCGACUAGGGAUUGGUGGAUGUUGUUUUUUGUGACUCCAUCAGCACCUUAUGAGAAAUCAAAGUCUUUGGGUUCCGGGGGGAGUAUGGUCGCAAGGCUGAAACUUAAAGGAAUUGACGGAAGGGCACCACCAGGAGUGGAGCCUGCGGCUUAAUUUGACCCAACACGGGAAAACUUACCAGGUCCAGACAUAGUGAGGAUUGACAGAUUGAAGAUCUUUCUUGAUUCUAUGGGUGGUGGUGCAUGGCCGUUCUUAGUUGGUGGAGUGAUUUGUCUGGUUAAUUCCGUCAACGAACGAGACCUCAGCCUGCUAAAUAGUUGGGCGAAUACAAUGUCGUGCUUUGUAGUGUUUUGUUUGAGUCUCUGAUUCUUACUUGAUACUCGGUGCGAUAAUUCGUGAUCAACUUCUUGGAGGGACUUUUGGUUUUUAGCCAAAGGAAGUUUGAGGCAAUAACAGGUCUGUGAUGCCCUUAGAUGUUCUGGGCUGCACGCGCGCUACACUGGCACGUUCAGCGAGUAUACAACCUUGACCGGAAGGUCUGGGUAAUCUUUGAAACCGUGCCGUGAUGGGGCUAGAUUAUUGUAAUUAUUAAUCUUAAACGAGGAAUUCCUAGUAAGCGCAAGUCAUCAGCUAGCAUUGGUUACGUCCCUGCCCUUUGUACACACCGCCCGUCGCUCCUACCGAUUGAAUGAUCCGGUGAAAUCUCAAGACUGAGACCUGUGGAAGAGAUGGUUUAUCUAUCUUUUAUCACUAGUUUUGGGAAUUUGAUUAAACCUU